CACGUAGGGGGCAAGCGUUGUCCGGAAUCAUUGGGCGUAAAGAGCUCGUAGGCGGCUUGUCGCGUCGGCUGUGAAAACCCGUGGCUCAACCAUGUGGUCUGCAGUCGAUACGGGCAGGCUAGAAUUCGGUAGGGGAGACUGGAAUUCCUGGUGUAGCGGUGAAAUGCGCAGAUAUCAGGAGGAACACCGGUGGCGAAGGCGGGUCUCUGGGCCGAUAUUGACGCUGAGGAGCGAAAGCGUGGGGAGCGAACAGG
rnacentral:rRNA from 1 species